AAUGAUACUUGUAAACAAGCAACCGUUAUCGCCGCACGAGUGCACAGGAUGAAAAUUAAAAAAUUCGAUAUCUCCAAAAGUAUUUGGAAUUUCUUAUCUCAGCCGGGUUUAAUGAAAAGAGGAAGUUUAAGAGCACAGAAUAAAGAAACUCUGGCACGACAAGAUGCUCACCCCUCCCCUCGCGGCAGGGCGAGACGCCAGUACAGAGCGACUCGCGGACCGGGACGGACGCACGUCCCACAGGAAGCCUUCAACCUUUGUCUACACUGAACUUCAUCCUGGUGUUGGGUCGGCCCAGGAUGACAAGACUCAUCACAGCGUCUCUCGUCGGUUCGAGAAGGGCGCCACAGGUUCUUAAGCAGCGGCGCUGGCCUCCACGGGAGUUCCACAAGCGAAGGGAAGUGCGACAUUGGGGAAGAGGAUGAGAGACUCCCUCGAGAGUGGCGCGACGCGGAGUGACGGGACCGCGCGAGUGCGACUGAGUGGCGCGAGACUGUAUGUGUGUGUGGACAGGCGCGAGGUGAGGGGCGAACCACUGUCGAGCCUAGCUCCAGUGAGGAGUGCGAACUGUGGAAUUUGACAGACAUUGAGUGACUUGCAAAUAAACAUUUUUAGUGCCAGUGAUUGGUGAUCAGACUUUUUUUUAAGUACAAUUGUUUAUUAGUAAUGUAAUUAUUAGUAAUUAAUAAAACUGUAAUAAAACUUAAUUGGGCUAUCCCUUA